UGGGCGGAAGUAAGCUGCGCCCUGUUAGCCAGCUGCCUCUGAAGACGAACGACUUCGUCGGCCGCCGUCCGGAAUCUCCCUUUAUACUCUUCCACCUGCCUACACCAGCUAGCCCGCUGCACGUCGUGGCUCAUCUCGGCGUCUUGAAGCUGCUUCUGAAGGUCGGAGACCUUCUGCGACCAUCUCUGUUCAUCUUCGACC
rnacentral:lncRNA from 1 species